GUUACAGAUUUUAUCAAUCUUGGUCAUAAUAUUUAUUUUUAUGCCCCCCUUUGAAGAAGAGGGGGUAUAUUGCUUUGCUCAUGUCGGUCGGUCGGUCGGUAGGUUGGUCGGUCCACCAGGUGGUUGUCAGACGAUAACUCAAGAACGCUUGGGCCUAGGAUCAUGAAACUUCAUAGAUACAUUGAUCAUGGCUUGCAGAUGACCCCUAUUGAUUUUGAGGUCACAAGGUCAAGGUCACGGUGACCCGAAAUAGUAAAAUGGUUUCCGUAUGAUAACUCAAGAACGCAUAUGCCUAGGAUCAUGAAACUUCAUGGGUAGAUUGAUCAUGACUCGCAGAUGACCCCUAUUGAUUUUGAGGUCACUAGGUCAAAGGUCAAGGUCACGGUGACCCGAAAUAGUAAAAUGAUUUUCGGAUGAUAACUCAAGAACGCAUAUGCCUAGGAUCAUGAAACUUCAUAGGUAGAUUGAUCAUGACUCGCAGAUGACCCCUAUUGAUUUUGAGGUCACAAGGUCAAAGGUCAAGGUCACGGUGAC